GACGAACCGUGCGAACGUUAUUCGGAAUCACUGGGCUUAAAGGGCGCGUAGGCGGGCCCGUUAGUCAGGGGUGAAAUCCCACGGCCCAACCGUGGAAGUGCCUCUGAUACUGCGGGCCUCGAGGGAGGUAGGGGCGUGCGGAUCUCAGGGUGGAGCGGUGAAAUGCGUAGAUAUCCUGAGGAACACCGGUGGCGAAAGCGGCGCGCUGGACCUCUUCUGACGCUGAGGCGCGAAAGCCAGGGGAGCAAACGGG
rnacentral:rRNA from 1 species